CACCAACGCACUAGUCCACUACACCAGGCUCCGAAUCUUCAAACAAGCAACAUCUCUUUGUUUUAUUGGACUGGAAUUGUCAGAUUCAAAAUGCCACCAGCAAAGAGAGGUCCUCAAUUCAGUGUGCAGGAUGUGAUGCCAUCCAAAACGGAGAAAGUGGGUGAGAACCGGAAUCUCUGGAAUGAUCUGUGACUUUGAUGUGUACCAAGGCAGUGUCAAUGGGAUACGAGUCAAGUCUGAACUUGGAUUGUCAGGUGAUGUUGUGAUUAAGCUUUCCUCCACGCUUCCAGAAGGUCAGAACUACAAGAUCUACGCAGACAACUACUUCACUUCACCUGUGUCCCAUUGGUAGUGAAGCUCCUUGAUCACGGGAUUCAUUAUGUGGGAACAGCCAGGCAGGUGCGCUUACCCAACUGUAGCCUUGAAGAGGAGAAGAGCUUGAAGAAAAAAGGGAGAGGAAGCUUUGACAUCCGAGUGGAGACCAACCAUCUGUGCUGUCAAAUGGUAUGACAGCAGAGCGGUCACACUUGUCUCAUCCUUUGCUGGACCACACCCUGUGCAGAACAUUCAACGCUGGGACAAAGCCAACAAAACCUACGUAGAAGUUGAGAGGCCUUCCAUUGUGGCUACGUACAACAAGUACAUGGGAGGUGUGGAUUUGUUGGACUCGUUUAUGGCCAAAUAUAAGUUCCCCAUGAAGUCCCGACGCUGGUACGUGUAGAUCUUCUGGCACACCAUCAUCCUUGCUGUGAUCAACGCCUGGCUCCUCUACAAGCGGGACUGCAGAGCUCUAAAGAUGCCAAAGCAGGAGAUCCUGAACAGGAGACAGUUUCAGGCAGAUCUAGCAUCCUCUCUCAUCCUGAUGAACACAACUCCUCUGAAAACACCAAAGAGAGGACGACCAUCUUCAGGCAACGGGAGCCCAGCAGCGACGGUGACAUCAAGGAGCCCGUUGAUUGCUCAGAAGAGACCAUCCUCAGGUGAUGGGAGUCCAUACAAGAGAUCACAACCUCCCCUGGAUGUACGGAAGGACCUAGUGUUACAUUUUCCAGUGAAGACAAAGAGAG